CACAGACGCCUAACGAAUACGCGCGUUUCGAGCCGAGUACAGCAGCCGCCGUCCACAUUAAAGACCGCCGCCGUCGCAGCAGCAUUCAGAAGUUCAAUUGUGCCGGCCAACGCCAGUCGAAGUUAGCAGUCAGCAGUUAGCGGCAGCAUCCUCCCAGCAACCAGUAUCAUCAGCUGUCAAACGAUUCUAAAAGCGUCAAGCAAAUACUAAAGAUUUUUGUGUGUGCAAAAGCAGCAAGUAAAAAAAAGAAAAGAAAAAAAAACGCCAACGCGCAGCCGGAAACGUAUCGAAUCGGAUUAAAUUUUCAAGUGUUUUGAACAAAAGUGCCGACAAGUGCUUUUGAGCGAGCGCUGACGCCCCAGAAGCCGUCGCUUAACACCAGCAGAGAAACGGAAAAAAGGAAAUGAAUUAAACUGAACUUUAAACAAAUAGCUAAGACGAGUGUAUAUUUCAAGCAAAAUAAGAGAGCUAAAAAAUUAAC